rfam:Triticum aestivum genome assembly, contig: Triticum_aestivum_CS42_TGACv1_scaffold_621372_7DS
UAACUACUCCCUUCGUCCGGAAAUACUUGUCAUCAAAAUGAAUAAAAGGGGAUGUAUCUAGACGUAUAUUAGUUCUAGAUACAUCCCUUUUUAUCUAUUUUGAGGACAAGUUUUUUCAGACGGAGGGAGUACUAA